UCCUGAGUAGCUCGGUCAGUAAAGCAUCUGCCUGCAAUGCAGAAGACCAGGGUUCAAUUCCUGGGUCGGGAA
rnacentral:tRNA from 1 species